rnacentral:tRNA from 1 species
UCCCAGAUAACUUAAUGGUAAAGCACCCAACCGGCAAUUGGGAGAUCUGGGUUCAAGUCCCGGUCCGGGCU